UAUUAGGUUGGUGCAGAAGUAAUUAUGGUUUUUGUCAAUACUUUAAUGGCAAAAACUGUAAUUACUUUUGCACCAACCUAAUA
rnacentral:miRNA from 1 species